AAUAUAUUUAAAGGUUUAAUCCGCUAAAAGAUAAAUCUGCUUAAGAUUAGGUUGUUGGUAAUUUAAAAGCUUACCAAGCCCAUGAUCUUUAGUUGGUCUGAGAGGACGAUCAACCACACUGGAACUGAAACAAGGUCCAGGCUAAUACGUUGGCCAGCAGUGAGGAAUAUUGGAGUCAAUGAACGAAAGUUUGAUCCAGCAAUACUAACUGGGUGAUGACGGCUUAUCAAGUUGUAAGAUCCUUUAAUUAAGAAAGAUAAUGACAUUAUUUAAUUGAAUUAGUCCUGGCUAAUACUCGUGCCAGCAGCCGCGGUAAUACGGGAAGGGCAAGCGUUAUCCGGCAUGACUGGGCGUAAAGAGUCCGUAGACUGUAAAGUAAGUUUCUUGUUAAAUUUUAAGACCCAAUCUUAACAGAGCAAUUAAUACUGC
rnacentral:rRNA from 1 species